GAACCAGUGGUUUAGAGGUUAAGCGUUUGCACUUGAGAUCAAAUGUCAUGGGUUAGAGUCCCUCUGGUCCA
rfam:Schistosoma haematobium scaffold367_8, whole genome shotgun sequence.